AUUGAACGCUGGCGGCAUGCCUUACACAUGCAAGUCGAACGGCAGCACGGGAGCAAUCCUGGUGGCGAGUGGCGAACGGGUGAGUAAUAUAUCGGAACGUGCCCAGUCGUGGGGGAUAACGUAGCGAAAGCUACGCUAAUACCGCAUACGAUCUAAGGAUGAAAGCGGGGGAUCGCAAGACCUCGCGCGAUUGGAGCGGCCGAUAUCAGAUUAGCUAGUUGGUGAGGUAAAGGCUCACCAAGGCGACGAUCUGUAGCUGGUCUGAGAGGACGACCAGCCACACUGGGACUGAGACACGGCCCAGACUCCUACGGGAGGCAGCAGUGGGGAAUUUUGGACAAUGGGCGCAAGCCUGAUCCAGCAAUGCCGCGUGCAGGAUGAAGGCCUUCGGUU
rnacentral:rRNA from 1 species